rnacentral:rRNA from 1 species
CCUACGGGUGGCAGCAGUGAGGAAUAUUGGUCAAUGGACGAGAGUCUGAACCAGCCAAGUAGCGUGAAGGAUGACUGCCCUAUGGGUUGUAAACUUCUUUUAUAUGGGAAUAAAAUGUUCCACGUGUGGGAUUUUGUAUGUACCAUAUGAAUAAGGAUCGGCUAACUCCGUGCCAGCAGCCGCGGUAAUACGGAGGAUCCGAGCGUUAUCCGGCUUUAUUGGGUUUAAAGGGUGCGUAGGUGGAUUGUUAAGUCAGUUGUGAAAGUGUUCGGCUCAACCGUAAAAUUGCAGUUGAAACUGGCAGUCGUGAGUACGUUAGAGGUGGGCGGAAUUCGUGGUGUAGCGGUGAAAUGCUUAGAGAUCACGAAGAACUCCGAUUGCGAAGGCAGCUCACUGGACUGCAACUGACACUGAGGCUCGAAAGUGUGGGUAUCAAACAGGAUUAGAUACCCCUGUAGUC